GGUUCUUGCGAGAUGAGGGUCGGAUUCCAGAUCGCCAGGGCGGUCGCAAGAGCGGUCCAUGGAUCCGGCAAUGCGGUAUCUUCCAGCCGCAUUUUCAGGCCUUCGAGCAGCAGCAUCAUCGUCAGGGGCCUGGCCGACGAUUUCAGCAGCCUCUUCGAUCAGAAUGCGAUGAAGACCAAGGCUCCAGGCAAGGCGAGGGAAGAUGGAGAGGCCACAAAGGCGGGCAAGGUGAACGAGGACAAGGAGGAGGUGAGUGAAUUGGAUCUACUGGAUUUGCAAUUCGCGAAAAUCGAGACUACAACAAGAACAACAACGGUGAGUGAUAGCAAGCCGGAGUCCCUGGAGCCAAUCGUCCAGGAGAUCCCGCUCCUACCGCCCUUUGGAUCUGACGAGGAGCUCAUCGAGUACGCAACUGCGGUCGUGAAAGAAACGCCGUGGCGGCAGCUCUACACCAAGCUCGCAGUUCUGGGUGAUCAAGUCAAGGCUCACCACGUCCCAGAGAUCAUCAAACGAGCCAAGGAUUCGCCGGUGGUGUUUAGUUUCUUCAUGUGGGUGAGAGCCAGGCGACACAUCCGUCUGGAUUCCUCCAUGUUUACGUUGCUCUUUGAGGUUCUAAGCUCCACCGACAAGCCGGAGGAGAUGGAGUGGCUCCUCGACCAGAUGCCAAAGUGGGGGAUUCCCGUGGAGGACUCCAUGGUUGUGACGGUGAUGCUGGCUUACGGGAGGCUGGACAGGGCCGGUGACGCUCUCAAGCUCUUCUUGAAGAUGGAGGAGCUCGGGGUGAAGUAUCCCAAGACCUCGACUUUCAACUGUAUCUUGCGACUACUCCUCAACGCGGGCCGGAACUUACAGUUCGAUAUGGUACACAAGAGGAUGACGAUGAUGAGGAAGAUGAACGCUCUCACGUACGAGAUUCUCAUCGCUAAGGUCUGCCGGUUUGGCGCCGCCGAGAGCGCGUAUGAAGUCUUCCAGGAGAUGAAAGAUGUGGAGCACCAGCCGAGCGUGGCUGCGUACGCGAGCUUGGUGGAGAGCUUGAGCAAGGCGGGUAGAGAGGACAUAGCUAUCCAGGUGCUGGAAGAGAUGGAAACUCCUUCAGCCGAGGUUUACAACCCGCUGGUGAGGAACUUGGUCCUGGCAGGGAAGCUAGGUGUGGCACUGACACAGUACAAGAAGAUGCUGGAGGCUAAACUCAAGCCGGUUUCCUCGACUUGCAUUCCCAUACUCACGGAGCUCGUGAUCACCGAGAGAAGCGAGCAGGCUUGCUCGCUCUUCCGGGAGAUGAUCAAGUCCGGCUAUGCUUCUCCCGCGGACUGUCUGCCGGUGGUGGAGAGCAGCUACAAGAAGUGCAAGAUCGAGAUGGUGUGGAGCUUCAUCAAGGAGCUUCCCAAGCUUCCGGACUGCGAUUUCGACGAGAAGAUCAUAUACUCUCUCGUCAAGGGACUUAUGGACAAGGAGAGGCUUGAUCUGGCGAGGAAGCUGUUUCAGUCGGUGCUGAGCACGGGGAAGAAGUUGCCGGCGGAUACUUACAACCUUUUCAUCCUCAAGCUGCGCACCACCGACGGCAGCAAGCAGAUCUUCGACCUCAUGAAGCAGAACGGAUGUGUUCCGGAUACUCGCAGCUACAACGGCAUGAUCGAGGCGCUGGUGCGAGCGGGAUCGAUCGGCGAGGCGUAUCAGCUCUUUGUGGAGAUGAUGGACAAAGGCUACCAGGCUGAUGCGAUCACUUACAAGCUGCUCAUGCAGAUCCUCAGCAGGGACGAGAAGAUGAACGCGAGCACCGUCACGGAAGCCAUGACGAAGCUCAAGGAGAAGGGGAAGUUUGAAGCAGCAGGGACGUACCUCGACAAGCUUUCGCAGCAAAAGCUUUUACCGUUUGGGAAAGGCAAGGGGAUCGAAGGGAAGGUUCUGGUGAAAGUCUUGCAAAAGGAUGGACGGAGGCUGGAAGAUAUCUACAUGUGAGACGCAAAAAUUUGGGACAAGAUUGGCUUUGAGAGAACUUUGCACUGCUGUGAGUGAUCCGAAGCAUUCAUCUGUGGAGAGCGAAGUUUGUGUGUGGAAUAUCUCCCACACGACGACAAUAAUGCAGGUAUGGGAUAAUAUUCUCUCGAAAGUGCGGCUGCCUCCACUGUCGCUGGCGGCUGAGCAAAGCAGCCACGCUAUAUAUAAAGUCGUGGAGCCAGACCCUUUCGAUCGUCUCAAGCCUCGAGAAAAGUCCACUUUUGAGCUCCAGUGCUUCUCUAGUUCGUCUGGCGAAGGUGUGAAAAAUCAAGUUUUGGCCAAUCUGGUUGAUCCGAGAUGGGAUUUCUGGCACGGCUGUGGGACGAUGUUGUUGCUCAUGAUCCUGGGAUGAAUCUGCGGGAUCCAAAGCUGGAAGGAUCAUUGCAAGGAGCUCCUUUCGCCCAACGAGACAAGGACAAGACAGGGAAUAUGAGUGAUCGAGAAGGAAGAACCAGAGAUGAUCCAGGCGUUACAAGACAAUUAUCUCCCAGUGUCUCGGAUUGGCUCGUCCUCAGCAUUCUAGACAGAUGAAAGAAAAAGACUUCAUUGUCUUGUCAAAGUUUGCUCUUCGCAAAGAAGGAUCCAAAUCUAUUCCUUCGUCUUGUGAAAGUUUGCUCUUCGCAAAAAGCUAUGUGAUCUAAGCUUGAAACGAAAGAUUUCCAAAUACUCGAGUUCUUUGACUGAAGUUCUGAUUGGUGGAUCCAAACUUUCGCUUAGAUCUUGAUGCAGUGUCACAAAAUCUCAGAAACGUUUGAAACAUCCAGUAGCAGAAGUUCAUUACAUUCAUCACCAUCAGAACAUCGUUUGGAUCUUUCACACUCUCCAGUGUCCUUGCUUCAGAGAGCUGCUUCGAUUGGAUCCACCAAAGUCACCGAGAAGUGAAUCGUCCCUCGAAGUUCCUUCUCUACACGACCAUGGCGAUGGAGGAGCAAGCAUGGCUUCUCUCUCGACGAAGCCCAAGGUAGAGGAUCAUCAAAACGUAGGCCAAGAUCGCGAGAGCUCCCAAGGGCCCGAGCGCCGCACGGUACAAGCCCGCAGCGCUGGAAUCCAUCACGGCAGUGGAGCCAGCAAUCGCGACGAAAAUGAUGAGUCUUAUCUUCUACACAAGGAAGACGAAACAAACAACGCAUCGAUGAAUAGAAAAGGAAUCGAGAGGAUCUACAGUGGUUCCUGAGCUCUCCAUCGCGGCAAGAGCCACAAAUUUCUCCGCGAGAGAAUGAUAUGAUUCCUCUGAUAAGGAGUCACAUAAAAAGCAUUGCUUUGAAUCUAUGGUGAGGGCUCCAGAUCUGCGUUGGAGGGGUGGCUGCCAAGGCAGAAAGAAAGGAGCCAUCGCCAGUCUUGUGGCACCACACUCAUACAAUGCGGAUCGGAUCGCUUAUCGCGCAUUGCAAUCAGUACGAUGGUGCGCCGCUAAAAA